UACGUAGGGCGCGAGCGUUAAUCGGAAUUACUGGGCGUAAAGCGUGCGCAGGCGGUUUUGUAAGCCAGGUGUGAAAUCCCCGGGCUCAACCUGGGAAUGGCAUUUGGGACUGCAAGGCUGGAGUGCGGCAGAGGAGACUGGAAUUCCUGGUGUAGCAGUGAAAUGCGUAGAUAUCAGGAGGAACACCGAUGGCGAAGGCAGGUCUCUGGGCUGACACUGACGCUCAUGCACGAAAGCGUGGGGAGCAAACAGG
rnacentral:rRNA from 1 species